rnacentral:rRNA from 1 species
GACGUAGGGCGCGAGCGUUGUCCGGAUUUAUUGGGCGUAAAGAGCUCGUAGGCGGCUUGUCGCGUCGUUCGUGAAAACCUGCAGCUCAACUGCAGGCUUGCGGUCGAUACGGGCAGGCUAGAGUUCGGUAGGGGAGACUGGAAUUCCUGGUGUAGCGGUGAAAUGCGCAGAUAUCAGGAGGAACACCGGUGGCGAAGGCGGGUCUCUGGACAGUUCCUGACACUGAGGCACGAAGGCCAGGGGAGCAAACGGG